rnacentral:rRNA from 1 species
GAUGAACGCUAGCGGCAGGCUUAACACAUGCAAGUCGAACGGUAACAUUGGUGCUUGCGCCAGAUGACGAGUGGCGCACGGGUGCGUAACGCGUAUGCAAUCUACCUUUUACUGGAGAAUAGCCCAGAGAAAUUUGGAAUAAUCCUCCAUAAUAUCAUGUAUCAGCAUUGAUUUAUGAUUAAAGCUCCGGCGGUAAAAGAUGAGCAUGCGUUCUAUUAGCUAGUAGGUGAGGUAACGGCUCACCUAGGCAACGAUAGAUAGGGGCCCUGAGAGGGGGAUCCCCCACACUGGUACUGAGACACGGACCAGACUCCUACGGGAGGCAGCAGUGAGGAAUAUUGGACAAUGGAGGCAACUCUGAUCCAGCCAUGCCGCGUGCAGGAUGACUGCCCUAUGGGUUGUAAACUGCUUUUAUAUAGGAAGAAACACUCCCACGUGUGGGGGCUUGACGGUACUAUAUGAAUAAGGAUCGGCUAACUCCG